GCGCGAUUAGCUCAUUUGGUAGAGCGACCCCUUGACGUGGGGUAGGUGGCAGGUUCGAUUCCUGCAUCGCGCA
rnacentral:tRNA from 1 species